UGCCAGCCGCCGCGGUAAUACGGAGGGUGCAAGCGUUAUCCGGAAUCACUGGGUUUAAAGAGUACGUAGGCGGCGAGGUAAGUCAGAUGUGAAAGCCCGGGGCUCAACCUCGGAACUGCAUCCGAUACUGCCUUGCUAGAGGGUUGGAGAGGAGACUGGAAUUCAUGGUGUAGCAGUGAAAUGCGUGGAUAUCAUGAGGAAGACCAACGGCGAAGGCAGGUCUCUGGACAACUCCUGACGCUGAGGUACGAAGGCUGGGGGAGCGAAAAGGAUUAGAUA
rnacentral:rRNA from 1 species